GAUGAAGAACGCAGCGAAAUGCGAUAAGUAAUGUGAAUUGCAGAAUUCAGUGAAUCAUCGAAUCUUUGAACGCACAUUGCGCCCGCUAGUAUUCUGGCGGGCAUGCCUGUUCGAGCGUCAUUUCAACCAUCAAGCCCUGCUUGUGUUGGGGUCCUGCGGCUGCCCGCAGGCCCUGAAAACCAGUGGCGGGCUCGCUAGUCACACCGAGCGCAGUAGCACAUCUCGCUCAGGGCGUGCGGCGGGUUCUUGCCGUAAAACACCCCCUUUUUACCAAGGUUGACCUCGGAUCAGGUAGGAAUACCAGCUGAACUUAAGCAUAUCAAUAAGCGGAGGA
rnacentral:misc_RNA from 1 species